rnacentral:lncRNA from 1 species
UUGGUGCUGCACCGAGUCUCAACACUAAUAAGGAGUAAGAUUUGUUUUUAUUUCCUUCCUCUCAAUGCUCACAGUGCUUUAUUAAUCGAGAAAUCUAAAGGACUCUAGGCAAAGAGUGGACACUUAAGGCAAGGAAGGUAGUUUUUAGUAGUUCUCAAUUCUGAUUAGCUUAAAAUUAGAAGCUACUAUAUGUUCCUCCAUACACGCAGCCAGUUCGAACAGGCUGUCUCCCUAUUGAAAAGAGAAGAAUUAGGGCGACUACGGCACAACAAUAACACGAUAUCAGAGAUAUAAAAUAUAGAGUGCUCACUCAUUAGAAUGACGAGAACAAUUUAUUGAAGCGUUCAACAGCUGAACAAUAAAGAAACAUAAGGAUCAAAUCAUUCAGUUAUUAUGUCAACAUUAGCCUUUCAGUUAUCAAUAAUAUUUCUUAAAAUCUUAAUUAAUUAAUAUUUAGUGAUAAAAUAACCUUCUAAUUGUUUAAAAAGGAGUUUGGUAUUAGACCUGCUUGCAUUCUAUUUAAUUGUUCUUCAAGAACUCUGGCUUUUUCUAGAUCCCUAGAGCACGAUCUUGCUAGUAAAUUGUGGAAGAGAUGUGAACUUAACCACAAUUAUGUGAAAAUAAGCUUUUUUCCAUAAGUAUUUUCAUAACUUUAUAAAACAAUCUUAUGUUUUGGCAUCCUUAUUAGUUGUUAUAUAAUUUAAUAUUUCAUAUAUAUUAUAACCAUCUAUUUUCAGAUGUCCCAAAUAUCCAGCGUUUCUAAGGCCGUCGCCAAGAUUGGAAACAAACCAAAUGGUCAAGGAUAUGAUUCAAGCACUUCAAGGACUAUGCCAUCAUUAAGCACAAAGUUAAAUGUAUUCUUGUUAGUUGUUGGUGGAGCAGUGCCCCCAUUUUCGACUUUCGAAUUCACUUAAAAAAAAGUGGAGUCCCAUGGACAAAUCUUAAAGCGAAGAACUUAUGAAGAAGACAGUACUAAAAAAAUGAAUUCUGAUGACAUGAUUGAUUUGGGGGUGGUGAGAAAAUAGAGCAAAAAGAGAUAUCCUGAAAUCAAGAUGGCAGUUAUAUUUGAUAGUUGUCAUAUCUUAUUCAGUUUAAGAAUCAAUAAUUAGAAAAAAUAUCAAUAAUUAAUAGUUUGAAAUACUUAAUUUUAUUACUAUUUAAUAUUUUGUAGAAUAAAUGAUACUUGAUUGAUUA